GAUGAACGCUGGCGGCGUGCCUAAUACAUGCAAGUCGAGCGAACAGACGAGGAGCUUGCUCCUCUGACGUUAGCGGCGGACGGGUGAGUAACACGUGGAUAACCUACCUAUAAGACUGGGAUAACUUCGGGAAACCGGAGCUAAUACCGGAUAACAUGGUGAACCGCAUGGUUCAACAGUGAAAGACGGUCUUGCUGUCACUUAUAGAUGGAUCCGCGCCGCAUUAGCUAGUUGGUAAGGUAACGGCUUACCAAGGCAACGAUGCGUAGCCGACCUGAGAGGGUGAUCGGCCACACUGGAACUGAGACACGGUCCAGACUCCUACGGGAGGCAGCAGUAGGGAAUCUUCCGCAAUGGGCGAAAGCCUGACGGAGCAACGCCGCGUGAGUGAAGAAGGUCUUCGGAUCGUAAAACUCUGUUAUUAGGGAAGAACAAAUGUGUAAGUAACUAUGCACGUCUUGACGGUACCUAAUCAGAAAGCCACGGCUAACUACGUG
rnacentral:rRNA from 1 species